rnacentral:lncRNA from 1 species
ACGGAGCCUUCCGUGCUUCCAGGUUAUUUUCAAUGUUGCAACUUUCGAAUCGUCGAUCGGCUUCAUUAAACUUGAUCUAGAGUAUUUGAAGUACCUAGAAAAUAAAUUUUAUGAUUUUUCGAUAUCAUUUGCCUAGUGAUCAAAGGAGCUCAAAAUCAAUAAUUUUAAUGGCCGUAGUGAGCCGUUUGCAAGUUUAACGGUGUAGAAAUAUCCAAAUCACGUGAUAUUUUGAUAGAAAAUUUUUUAUACUAUAUAAAAUAAAUCAAUAUCUUUGAUCUAAAAUCUUAAUAUCAUAUUAUCACGUUUUGUAAGAUUUUUAUUUUCAGCCGUUGAUUUUGAGCCCUUUCGUUCACUAGGCAAAUAAUAUCGAAAAAUCGCAUAAUUUAUUUUCUAGGUACUUCAAAUACUUUAGAUCAAGUUUAACGGAUCCGAUCGACGAUUCGAAAGUC